UUAAGACACAAGUCUGCUGAUGCUCCUGGCUGAAUAAACCUCUUCCUUCUUUAAUCUGAUGUCUGAGGAGUUUUGUCUGCAGCUUGUCCUGCUACAUUUCUUGGUUCCCUGACCGGGAAGCGAGGUGAUUAAUGGACGGUCGACACAGCCCCUUAGGCAGCUUAUGCCUGCCCUGUAGAGCAUCCCUGUGGGGGACUCCGGCCAGCUUGAGCAAUGUAGAUCCUGAUGAGCGCUCCCAGGCAGGCAUUUGCCCCGGUACAACGCCUCAUCAGAGCGGUGCAUGGCAAGCCCACAUGAAGGACCAAUGCAGUGGCUGAACACUGGGAAGGAACUGGCACUUUAAGUCUGGACAUCUGAAACUUGCAUGCUGCAGCCCCUAAUGAAUGAAUGAACCCAGGUAUCACAACAAAAAAGAGAGACAAAAAAAAUCAUGUGCCUCCUGAUGAAAGAACACAACUGCCACCUCACCUUCUCAAAGAAGCCAAACCUGAAUCUGAUCAAGCCACUGGAUCCAGCUGCCAAUUUGCAGGAAAUAUAGGACACAGGAACAUGCACAAUGGAUUGGAUUGAAUGAUACAGGGAUGGACAGAUAUGUGAUAAAUCAAAUAGAGCAAAAUGGUAAUUGCAGAAUAUAAAUGUUGGAUAGAUGAGUGUCCACUAUAUAAUUCUAUUUUUUUUUUUUUUUUUUUUGAGACAGGGUAUCACUCUAUCACCCAGACUGGGGUGCAGUUGUGCUAUCACAGCUCACUGUAGCCUCAGCCUCCUGGGCUCAAGCGAUCCUCCCACCUCAGCCUCCUGAGUAGCUGGGACUACGGAUGCAUGCCACCAUGCACCAAUUUUUAAAAACUUUUUGGAGAGAUGGGGUCUUGCAAUAUUGCCCUGGCUGAUCUCCAACUCCUGGGCACAAACGAUCCUCCCACCUUAGCCUCCCAAAGUGCUGCGAUUAUAGGCGUGAGCCACUGCGCCUGGCCCACCCAAGUUUUCUGUUUGAAAAUGCUCAUAGUAAAAUGUUGACAAAAGACAUAUAAAAAGUCAAGUUUAAACUAUACUGUGGCUAGGCGUGGUGGCUCACACCUGUAUUCCCAGCACUUUGAGAGGCCAAGGUGGGCAGAUCAUCUGAGGUCAGGAGUUCAAGAGCAGCCUGGCCAACCUGGUAAAACUCCAUCUCUACUAAAAAUAUGAAAAUCAGCCAGGCACGGUGGUGUGCGCCUGUAAUCCCAGCUAUUUGGGAGUCUGAGGCAGGAGAAUCACUUGAACCCAGAAGGUGGAAGUUGCAUGAACCGAGAUCGCGCCACUGCACUCCAGCCUGGGCAACAGAGCAAGACUCCAUCUCAAAUAUAAAAAUAAAAUAUAGUGUCUAGGGAAGUAUAUUUAGGUGGUGAAACUACAAAAGAAACUCAAGGAAGUGAUUAGUAUAAAAGUUACAAUAGUGGUUACUUUGGGAGAAAGCAGCAUGUUGUAAAUGGGCAGGGACACAUGGAAUCCUUCUGAGGUACCUGGCCAAAUUCUAUUCUUGGCCCUGUUGUGGUUUACGAAGGUGUCCCCCUUGUAAUUAUUCAUUAAAUGCUAUUUCUGUUCUCUGUGGCUUUCUGUCUGUAUUUUACAACAAAAGGGUUGUUUUUUUAAAAGUCCGUAUCCUUUGACCCAGCAACCACUUUAGGAUAAUUAUUAAUUACUAAUUACCCUAAAGUAAUUAUCAGUAGAGAAUCGUUUAAGCCCAGGAGUUGGAGACCAGCCUGAACAACGUUGUAAGACCCCACCUCUACAAAGUCCGUAUCCUUUGACCCAGCAAAUAAUUAGUAAUUAUCCUAAAUAAUUAAGACUACAUAGAUGGCUGUACAACAAUAGCUGUCAUUUAUUGAGUGCCUACUAUGUAUUAAACACUGCUCUAGCACUUUACAAGUAUUAUCCUAUUUAUCCUUGUAACAACCCUGUGUAUUACAGUACACACGAUUCUUUUUUAGAGACGGAGUCUCACUCUGUUGCCAGGCUAGAAUGCAGUGGCGCAAUCUUGGCUCACUGCAACUUUGGAGGCCUCAGCCUCCCGAGUAGCUGGGACUACAGGCACGCACCACCACGCCCAGCUAAUUUUUAUAGUAUACGCUAUGAUUAUUUCCAUUUUACAGAUGAGACUAAAGAGGUGAAAGAACACUGAUUAUUUCCAUUUUACAGAUGAGACUAAAGAGGUGAAAGAAUGUUGACCACAUCAUUAUUAAUAAA
rnacentral:lncRNA from 1 species